rnacentral:lncRNA from 1 species
CUUAUUAUUCAAUAGUUUCUGUUUCAUUUUCCUCCUCUAAUAUUGUGAAUUGCAGGUUUUCGAGUGUGGAGUUCCUCUCUCUAUACUGGGAGAUGCUGUGCAUAGAUUUUCUCAAAUUUCCUUGGGACAAAGCAAAGUGAGAAAAUCUCUUUAAGGUGUACUUUGGUCCUCCAUGCCAUGGAUGUCUGACACAAAAUUUAUACAGGAAGUCUCCCUUUCUGCCCCCACAUCCUUACCCUGGAAACAAUCUUGUGGCUUAGAAGGCAAAACAGAGGCCCAGAGACGGGGCUUGUCUUAAAAGAAGCACACAAAGUUCAUUGAGAAGAAUACCAGGAAGGCCAUCCUGCUCUCAAAUAUCUCCCCCAUAGGUCUGAAAUUUACGUAUUAAAUUCAUUUCUUUAAAUCACCUCGUUCCGUCUCCCAAGGUCAUUAAUUAAAUAAGCCUGUAUUAAA